UACGUAGGGCGCAAGCGUUGUCCGGAAUUAUUGGGCGUAAAGAGCUCGUAGGCGGUUUGUCGCGUCUGCUGUGAAAACCUAAGGCUCAACCUUGGGCUUGCAGUGGGUACGGGCAGACUAGAGUGCGGUAGGGGUGACUGGAAUUCCUGGUGUAGCGGUGGAAUGCGCAGAUAUCAGGAGGAACACCAAUGGCGAAGGCAGCUCUCUGGCUUCACCCUGACGCUGAGGCGCGAAAGCGUGGGGAGCGAACAGG
rnacentral:rRNA from 1 species